GGGGGGGGGGAGUUUUGGCACCGGAGGAGGAUUGCUAGAGCCCGCCGAGGUGCGCUGAGCCCUCCCAGGGAGGAGCCCGUCCCGGCACGCCGGCUGCGGCGCCAUGGCAGCAGGAAGCCAGAAGAAAGUAUCUACUGUUGAUCAAGGGAUCUUUGAACUCACUGAAUUCUUGAUUGUAUUCAGUCAUUGUUCGUGGUAUUAAUCCUACUAAAAGGUAUAGAGACGCUCCAGAGUGCUUUGUGGUGUUGAAGGUUGCGGAAAGAUCAUUGUACCCCUACAGAUGAAUAGGUCUGUGGCUCUUGCAGUGACCUUUCUCAGUGAUUUGAAUAAGCUGCAGUUCCCAGAAAUCCAUCUGCCUUUUGUGUUUGUCGAUUUGUCUAAUCUUUCCGACCCCUAAAAGAAGCAAAAAGUACCUUCCCAUCCGAUUUCAUCCUCCCGAGUAAAAGCGUUAAAUUGACCUCAUUUCAGGUGAUGAAGUGACAUUUGCUGAAAGUGAUCCUGGCAUCAGGCGAGCUUUCCCAGGGCGGGGGGGCUGGGGGGGGUGGUGUAAAGAGGGAGGCAGAGGAUAGCUGCCCCAGAAAUCUCUUACUAACUCUAAAAGUAGUACCUUAAAACACCAACAAGUAGCCCGGACCAUACAGCCCGGGAGUGCGGUGCUGAACACGAGGAACAUUAUGUGCACUGAAGGUGAACAUCCCCAGGCCCUGCUGCCCCAGUCCAACCUGACUGGGAGCGCAAAGCAGGGGAGGAGAAGCAGGAACCAAAACCGAGGGAGACGCUGCUUUCCCUUCUGUUUGCUUUCUUAUUUUGCUAAAGGAAAAAAAUCUUAUCUGUAGGUUUCCUGGGAACAGAUUAGGGUAGCCAGGCUCCUCCUGAUGUGAAGUGUUUCCCUGGUUUUCUAGUAACCUAUCAAAACUUAACCAGCAUAGUAUAUCUCAACCUAUGUCUCAGAUAACCUUACAGGGGGAAAUUACUACAAGUGAAUUUAAGUUUAGAUUUAUUUAGGUGAGCAGACAUACACAGACAUAAUAUGAAUACAUAUUAUAUAUAUAUCUCUCUCUCCAUACACAUCCACACACAUCCCUUUCUUCAUGCUUUCUAUAUUAAGGAAAUAAUACACAUAUCCUUUAUGGUUUGUUUUAAUGUCAGUAGCUGCGACUAUCAGCAAAGGAUCCUGUUAAAAAAAAAAGCCCAAUGAACUAAAACUUAUUUUAGUGAAGUUUGUGUUUAAGAAUAAUGAUUUUCUUGUAGAAUUCUUUUCUUCUGCCUAGGCACUUUUUUCCCUCCUUGAAUGGCAGAUUUGCAAGUACAAUUUCAUCUGCACAGAGGAACAAUAGCUUUCAGUUGCACAAAGGAUUUCUCCCACCCUGAAUCCAAACCACAAUGCCUCUUGCUCUGAUAAUAGCUUCUGAAAAGAUUUUGUAAUGCACAGAAUUAAUACAUGAUUAUUUCCGCCUCACUUCUCUCAUUUAUUAGAUUCUAUAGUGAAUUCCAAAUUAAAAAUAGCACCUCUUGAGUUUUUUAAUGUUCUAAUAUUUUGAAACAAAUCAUAUUCUGAAGUUCCUCUUUUUGCCCGUUUACUAAGAAAUCUGCAUUUUUUAAUUAUUGCUCCAAAACAAAACUGUGUAAUAUAAAUGUAAAAAUCAAGGCAUGCAAAAAUUGCAAAAAAUUAUAAGGUCACAUUGUUUUAAAAUGAAUUGUAGUGCUUUUUCCUUUGCAAACUGGAAGAGAGGUUGGGUGCAGUAACCGGCAAACUGGGUUUUAAAUCAGGAGUAUCUUUUUAAAUUUAUGAAGCAAAACAAAACCUCAACUUCAGUUAGAGUUUUGCUUUAGCAAGGACCAGAAUUGGGCCCUGUGUCCUAAAGGAAAUAAUGAAGUGUAAUUCUCCUGAGACAUCUGGAAGGUGAGCUUUCACAUCACUGCAUAGGGAGCUCCUCUCUGCUCUUACAAAGACUUUCUCCCACACUUCCAACAUAGGUGUGAGAACUUAUUUACAUGAAAGUGUGCAUUAAAUAUUUACUGACAUUUGCCUGGAAUUCGUUUGAAAUGUCGGCUGUUCUGCUGCAUCAUGGGAUGACACCGCGGAACGGGAUGCUGCUCUUUGAUUAGAACAGUGAUUUGUGACUCCAGCGUUGUGGCUGCUCUAGUUACUGACUCACUUUUGGGUGUAUAUAAAAUGCGUUGUCGAGGGACUGGGAAAGCCUACAUGAGAUCAGAUCCUAAGCAUUUUUUCUUCCCUCUUAAAAAGAAAAAAACAAAGAAACAACCACAAGCCCUCACAGAAGUGGUGUACUUCAAGCAAACACUGUUGAGUCUAAGUGGUAGGUGUAAUGUUGUUCUGAGACAGGGUAACUCUUUGCCUUCUAGCAUUUAAGCUCAGGCCGGGCCGUUUCAAAGCAAGUAAAGACUGGCUGAACAUCUCCAAAGCCUCCAUAUUUAGAGUCACUUCCUAAGACAUCCAUUUAGGAAUUAGUUGUUUUUCCUUCACUGGGACUCUGUGAUACUACACAAUUUUCCAAGGAGAAAAUCAUUCAGAGGAAUGUCAAUAUAUUCUGUUAUAUAAAGUUUAAAAAAUGCAUAGUUACAUGUAGCUGAGUUUAA